rnacentral:lncRNA from 1 species
GGAAGUCUUCCCUUGUAAUGAAGCUCAACUGUGACUUGGCUUGCUAGAGCGUCGUUGCUUAAAAGAGCCGCUUAUGAACCCAAUAAGCCGCUUAUGGGUCUUAUCGUAUGGCUUGGAAAUCAGCAUCCCAGACCUGAGUGCAGAGGAGCCAAGGUUGGAGAGCUUCAUUUUAAUAGUAUAAAGCGAAGGAGAAAGCGGCGGUGAUGCUGUUCAGGAGAGCACACGCGUGAAGACAAAUACGGUGAUUACUCUUUUCACGGCGAUGGACACCAGGAACAAUGCGAGCAUCUGAGGGCACAAGACUUCAUCACAGGGCCUGGCUUUCUCAUCCUGACGCACCCACAGCAAGGCCUGGAUUAUGCCUGCUUUUGAUCUCACUAAUUUGCUAUUGGGACAGAAGUUAUUCAUUUGGGGUGCAAUAAAGAAAUUCCAAUUUGAAC